rnacentral:rRNA from 1 species
GUCCACGCCCUAAACGAUGUCAACUAGGUGUUGGGUGGGUAAACCAUUUAGUACCGGAGCUAACGCGUGAAGUUGACCGCCUGGGGAGUACGGCCGCAAGGUUAAACUCAAAGGAAUUGACGGGGACCCGCACAAGCGGUGGAUGAUGUGGAUUAAUUCGAUGCAACGCGAAAACCUUACCUACCCUUGACAUGUCCAGGAGCCUGAAGAGAUUUGGGUGUGCCCGAAAGGGAACUGGAACACAGGUGCUGCAUGGCUGUCGU